AGUAGUUGAUUAUGGCUCGAGGACGAACGCUGGCGGCGUGCCUAAUACAUGCAAGUCGAACGGGCCACUGAAUUCGGUUUGGUGGUUAGUGGCGAACGGGUGAGUAACGCGUGAGGAACCUGACCUUUAGAGGGGGAUAACACCUGGAAACGGGUGCUAAUACCGCAUAAGACCACAAUGUCGCAUGGCAAAGGGGUCAAAGGAGCAAUCCGCUAAAGGAGGGACUCGCGUCCCAUUAGAUAGUUGGUGAGGUAACGGCCCACCAAGUCGACGAUGGGUAGCCGAGCUGAGAGGCUGAUCGGCCACACUGGAACUGAGACACGGUCCAGACUCCUACGGGAGGCAGCAGUAGGGAAUAUUGGGCAAUGGGGGAACCCUCGACCCAGCAACGCCGCGUGAGGGAAGAAGGUUUUCGGAUUGUAAACCUCUGUCCUAUGUGACGAAGAAAGUGACGGUAGCAUAGGAGGAAGCCCCGGCUAACUACGUGCCAGCAGCUGC
rnacentral:rRNA from 1 species